CAUAACGCUCGGGACAUAGUCUGGAUAGUCAUCUCCGCCUUUUCAAAACUAAUUCACUGGACUAACCAGGAGUUUAAUUGAUAUCAUUGUUCCAUACUGGUACUAUCUACAAAACAGGCUGUAAAGGAUUUAGCAGACUUGGGACUCGCUCACUGUGGAAUCAUAUCUCUAGAACUCGUAGCAGAUGACUUUGCACUGGAGUUUAUGACAAUGGCAUCUUCAAAGGACAAAGUUAAAAGGAAUAACAUAGCGAUGGGGAACUUAAAACUACAUCGAGCAACUGCAGUAUGCAUUAUAGUGACUCUGCUUUUACUGGAACAGAUUUGUACAGCUACUAGUUACCAAAAGGCAGAUUUUACGUUUCAGAAAAGUUGGAGUGUGGCAGAUGUGCCAAAUAGUAAAUUUUAUCCUCGUAUUGGGGACCCGGCCACAUCAUCUUUCUAUAGGAUACUAGAGUUCCAUGAUAACCUUGGAGACGAUAGUCACAUGUUUGUCGGCGGUAAAAAUUCACUGACGGAACUGCGCCUUGACGAUCUUUCAUUCAUGAGAGAAAUAGAUGUUCCUAAAUAUCCUACAGCUUUCACAUGUGAACAGAUACAG